rnacentral:rRNA from 1 species
UACGUAGGGGGCCAGCGUUGUCCGGAUUUAUUGGGCGUAAAGAGCGUGUAGGCGGCUGGGUAGGUCCGCUGUGAAAACUCGAGGCUUAACCUCGAGACGUCGGUGGAAACCAUCCAGCUAGAGUCCGGAAGAGGAGAGUGGAAUUCCUGGUGUAGCGGUGAAAUGCGCAGAUAUCAGGAAGAACACCCGUGGCGAAAGCGGCUCUCUGGGACGGGACUGACGCUGAGACGCGAAAGCGUGGGGAGCGAACAGG